rnacentral:rRNA from 1 species
CCCUUAGAUGUUCUGGGCCGCACGCGCGCUACACUGACGAAUGCAACGAGCUUAUAACCUUGGCCGAAAGGUCUGGGUAAUCUCCAAAUUUCGUCGUGAUGGGGAUAGAUUAUUGCAAUUAUUAAUCUUCAACGAGGAAUGCCUAGUAAGCGCAAGUCAUCAGCUUGCGUUGAUUACGUCCCUGCCCUUGUACACACCGCCCGUCGCUCCUACCGAUUGAAUGGUCCGGUGAAGCGUUCGGACCGUGGCCUUUGGACGGUUCGCCGUCUGUUGGCUGCGGGAAGUUCGUUAAACCUUAUCAUUUAGAGGAAGGAGAAGUCGUAACA